UACAGAGGUCUCAAGCGUUGUUCGGAUUCAUUGGGCGUAAAGGGUGCGUAGGUGGCGGGGUAAGUCAGGUGUGAAAUCUCGGAGCUCAACUCCGAAACUGCACUUGAUACUGCCUUGCUUGAGUACUGGAGAGGAGAUUGGAAUUACGGUGUAGCAGUGAAAUGCGUAGAUAUCGUAAGGAAGACCAGUGGCGAAGGCGAAUCUCUGGACAGUUACUGACACUGAGGCACGAAGGCCAAGGGAGCAAACGGG
rnacentral:rRNA from 1 species